UUUAGUUGUUAUUUGACUGGAUCAAUCUUAUGUUUCUUUAUCCUCUCCUCAGUAAGUUUUUUCCCCUGCCUUCCUUUUCAUGGUACUUCAAUUUGUGAUUUUUGGCUCUUUAAGAGAGAAUAUGGAUGGGAUCAUUUUACUGUAUUUCAAGAUUUUUAUGGUGAUGAGUUUCUGGUUCAUGCCCCAAUGUUCUCUCUUUUCACAUGUGAAAAAGGAUCUUGUUUUCUUGCUGUCGUUUUUGCUGUCUCACAUCUGCUUGCAGAGUCAACCACUUGAUGGUGGCUGUAUAUGUAGUUGUACAGGCAGCUGUUCCAUCUUUAAUGUUUGUGUUGUUUCCCAUUUCAGCAUCUUGUCAGUUAUUGCUUUGACAUGUAUGAUUCACAAUUUAUGUUUAAUGUGUGUGCACAUUAUAUUGUAUUUUCACAUGCCUAACAAAUGGGGGGGGAAAAAAAAGUGCUAGCAGAUUUUGACAAUACUGUGAGUUAAUUUGUUGUACUUUAUAGUUAGGAGUUGUUUCAAAAAGUUCUCCAUAAAAAGGUUUGUGGAUUUAGAUAAAAGAUGGUGAAAUGUGUCACAUGUGGUUGAAAAGUUGAUAAAAGUUGUGUGUUCCAUGAUAUUAUGGUUAAAAUCAAUUUUUUAGCAACAUUUUUUGCUUUCCUGAACAAGCACUUUGUAGAUAAGCAUUUACUAUCCCCUUACGUAUUAGACUGCAAAUAAUUCUCUUUCUUUCCUUUUCUUUUGUCCCGUCUGUAUUUGUUCCUUUUGGCAUAAUUAUUUUCGUUCAAUCAGUGCAAGCAAUAUGAGAAGGACCUAAUGGACAUGAUCGAUAGAGAAGUGGAUGGAAGUGAUAGUCUUGAGGGGAUUUGUUCUGUGCCAUUCAAUUGCUAGUGGUACAAGCUAAGGUUUCCAAAUCCUAUCACAUUGUGCAAAUUUUCUAUGUAAAUUCCAAAAUAUGAAUGUCUUGAUUCAUAUUUGAUUUUCAUAAGAAUAUGAAACUGGUUUUGUACUGUUCACGGAAGGACAGGUCAACUGCACUGUAGAGGCCCAAUUUAUUCUCUCUGCUUUCACUGUAUAUACUCAAUGUAUCUAUCUCUUCCUUUUCAUUUCUUCCCCCAUUUAGCCAUCCUUGUUGACUAUAUAAUAGUUAUUUGCUUUCCAUGUAGCCACCAUUCUUUCUAGCUACAGUGGUUCUGCAUUGUUCAUUAAAUGAUCGCCCUAACAAAGCGUCAUUUCUUCCAUCUCUAAACCCUCUUUUUUCUUUCCCGAAUUUCAAUCCCCAUUCCCAACACACUUUAAUUCCUCCUACAACGCUAAAAACCCUUCAAUUAAUUUCAUCUCUCCAGGAAUGAGCUGGCUGUACAAGCUUAGAUUUGGUGUUCUUAACUCCACCGACUCCAUGUGGAUUCCUCUUUCGAUUCUUCCAUAGCGCAUGGGACUAGACGAUCAUGUACUCGCUCUGAGCCAUCAGUUCGUGCAAUUCGAAGGAGGUAGAGAAUAUAGUAUUGGCUUCCUCCAUUGCAAUUUAUUGUUGAGUUUUUUUAAAACAGUAUUUAAUCGUAUCCCCAAGAAAAAUUUAUGAAUUUCAGUUCAGAAAUUUGAGAAAAAAUGUGAAGUUUAGGUUUGCUUUCAUCUUAAAUGUCUUAAAAGUUUGUUCUUAUUGGCAAAAAGUUUUAAAUUUCUGCAUUUAUUUAAUUAAGCUUGCUCAUUUUUAUCACCGGCAAAACUAAGAUUUCAGAUUUUGGGUGUGGUGUGGGGCUGAGCAACAUAGGGAAGCAGCAAUGCACAAAGGUCACUCAGAUUAAAAGGCUAAUUGCUAGAAACUGGUGAAUAUAAGCACAAGGAAGAUUUGGAAAUGCUUAUAAAUUUAGAGCUGGGGAAGUUAAAUUAUGUUGAGAACGAGUUCCGGAAUUAUGAAUAUAUUGUAAGAAAAAAUAAUAAAUGAGAUUGUAUAUAAAAUAAAAAGUGGAGCAAUUUGAUUGAAUUAUGCCACUAUGAGUUUUAAUUUUUGAUUUCUUUUAUUUUUUGAUUGUCAAAUUUGUCGACGAAUAAAUGAAACAUAGGAUUGAGUUGAGUAUGACGUGGAGAAAUGUGACUAGAGAGCUUGAAACAUUGACCUCUUGAAAAUUAACUUUUGAGAACGUGAAAACUUCCAACUAGAAAGUAGAAACUGCAUGAUCGGCUGAAUAAUUUGUAAAAAGAAGUGACAAACUGUAAUUUCUCUAUUUUGUGAUUUAUGUUUUCGUGAACAUUAUUGUAGCUAGAUGUUCCUUUAGUUUAUCAUUCACAUAUUGAAAUGAGAUAUUGCACAUGCUAGAAGAAAUAUGUAAUCCUCCUUCUGGUUCUUGGCAAAAUUUGAAGGUGAGUAGAAUUUUCUGAGUACGAACUUUGUUGUUGUUGUUUUUUUUUCUGGCAAUUAUAUUUAUCUUGUGAAAAACUGUUUCAGGAUUACAUGUGAAAAUCUAGGGAUGUUUUUUUUCUCAAGUUUCUUGUGAUGAUGAUGGUAAGUUAUUUUACUCAAUACAAUUUUUUUUACUAUAGAGAUGCUAAUGGCUCCGUGCAACCUUGUUAAUGGGGUUUAUAAACAUUUGUUACUAUAUUCAGGAACCUUUGGCAUAGUUAACUAUAGUAAUUGCUAAAACAUUAAUUAUGUUGUAAGUCACAGUUGUAUUCAUCUUCAAAAUGUUUGAGCUUCUGUGCAUCCAUGAAUUUUUCUAGUCAAUUUGGUAAUUUGUUGUCCUCUUGCUCAGAUCCGGAAAUUUGAUGAUCACGAUUUGAAGAAUCUUU
rnacentral:lncRNA from 1 species